rnacentral:rRNA from 1 species
UACGUAGGGUGCGAGCGUUGUCCGGAAUUAUUGGGCGUAAAGAGCUUGUAGGCGGUUUGUCGCGUCUGCCGUGAAAAUCCGGGGCUCAACCCCGGACUUGCAGUGGGUACGGGCAGACUAGAGUGUGGUAGGGGGAGACUGGAAUUCCUGGUGUAGCGGUGAAAUGCGCAGAUAUCAGGAGGAACACCGGUGGCGAAGGCGGGUCUCUGGGCCGAAACUGACGCUGAGGAGCGAAAGCGUGGGGAGCGAACAGG